rnacentral:lncRNA from 1 species
GGCUGCUUAAGUUUAAUAGAAAUGUGGGAUUGUAAAGGUGGGGGGUGUCGCAGCAGUCAGUGGUAGAGAAUGGAGGUGACGGAUGAACAUGACUAGCGUUGGUCUAAGAGGGAAAUGUGGUGCUACCAUGAUUGGGUUGUGGGCUGCUGCUGCACCAGAUCUGUGAGGUAGACAUCGAUGGACCGGUUGGGGUUUCUGAUUGGAGGUAUUUAGGGUUUUGGGGUUAGCUAUCACCAACCAUGGAUAGGGAGAAGCUCUUACCAAGGAGUGUCUCAUUGCACCGUCAACUUCUUCAAUUGCUUGUCGACUUUAGGCAGCAAGGGUAACCCAGAUGAGAAGAUUCAUAGCUACAUGGAUAAAACAUCUAAGAUUUUCCUGUAGAUAACAAGGCAGCAUCAGGAAAAAAAAAAG